ensembl:miRNA
CACUGAGCUAAAUCCUUGGCCCUUGGUCUCAGCACUUGGGAGGCCGAGGCAGGAGGAU